CUUUUCUUCAGUGUUUUGUUUUCAUUGACUUUGGUUCAGUUCAGCCUCUCUAAGGGCCACGUCAACGCAUUGUUUCCGAAGAUCCAGGAGAAAAAGUCCAUUGUUGUUGCUUAGUUUUUAAUCUGGAGAUUUAAGGCACAUCACAUGCUCAGACGGGGCAGCGGGGCGCACGAGCAGCACCGGAAAAACCACCGCCAA